rnacentral:rRNA from 1 species
CACGUAGGGUGCGAGCGUUGUUCGGAAUUAUUGGGCGUAAAGAGCUCGUAGGCGGUGUGUCGCGUCGGCCGUGAAAACCUGCAGCUUAACUGCGGGCUUGCGGUCGAUACGGGCAUCACUGGAGUUCGGCAGGGGAGACUGGAAUUCCUGGUGUAGCGGUGAAAUGCGCAGAUAUCAGGAGGAACACCGGUGGCGAAGGCGGGUCUCUGGGCCGAUACUGACGCUGAGGAGCGAAAGCGUGGGGAGCGAACAGG